rnacentral:rRNA from 1 species
UACGGGAGGCAGCAGUGGGGAAUAUUGGGCAAUGGGCGAAAGCCUGACCCAGCAACGCCGCGUGAAGGAAGAAGGUCUUCGGAUUGUAAACUUCUUUUAUGAGGGACGAAGGACGUGACGGUACCUGCAUGAAUAAGCCACGGCUAACUACGUGCCAGCAGCCGCGGUAAU